rnacentral:rRNA from 1 species
CAGUCGCCGCGGUAAUACGAAGGGUGCAAGCGUUACUCGGAAUUACUGGGCGUAAAGCGUGCGUAGGUGGUGGUUUAAGUCCGUUGUGAAAGCCCUGGGCUCAACCUUGGAAUUGCAGUGGAUACUGGGUCACUAGAGUGUGGUAGAGGAUAGUGGAAUUUCCGGUGUAGCAGUGAAAUGCGUAGAGAUCGGAAGGAACAUCUGUGGCGAAGGCGACUAUCUGGGCCAACACUGACACUGAGGCACGAAAGCGUGGGGAGCAAACAGGAUUAGAUACCCCUGUAGUCCCUGUCUCUUAUAC